UAAAAAAUGAGUUUGGUGAAUAUUAGAGAUUUGAAUUGAUAAAAUUUGUAGCUGGAGUACCAAAUAUGAAGUAUCGGUAGAAAGGUUAAUGUGUUAGAGUACUGUGAAGGAGGCGAAGAUUAUUUUUUUAUAGUAGGAGAUAAGUCUGUACCUUUUGCAUAAGGGUUGAAUAAGAGAUUUAUCACUAGAGGAGUGAAGGCCCGAAGCCGGGAGAGCUACCAAGUAACCAGGGCUGGCCUAUAGAGGUUAGAGUGGCAGAUCUAUCUUAAGAUUACUUGGUUGAAGUGACAUGUUAUUCGGGCUCGGCGAUAACUGGUUAGGUCGGAAAUAGAUUAAGUUUAGGGGGCUAAGAAUGAAGAAGCCUACUGAGUGCAUCGGGGCAAGCUUGGUGUAUGUUUAACGAGAGUGAGAGAAAAGAAAAGAAAGAUUAGUAGGUCUUAUAGUGGCUAUCUUAGGAAGAGUGGGGUUAAAGCACCUUUUUCUGAAUAAUAAAAUAAGUUGAUAUUGUAGAUCUUAAAGGGUACGGCUUAAUGUAGUUUAAUUGGAAGGCUACAUAGUAUAAUGUUUAGAUGAGUAGUAGUGAAUUUUGUUUAAUUGCUCAUACAAGUGAAUUGAUGGGCUUGAGAGUGGUUAGUUUUGUAUUUAGGCGUUGCUAAGGAAUUCGGCAAAAAUUUAUCCCAGCUGUUUAGCAAAAACAUAGCCUCCAGAAGGGAUUGGAGGUGAUACCUGCCCGGUGAAUAUGGUUUAAACGGCGGCCUUAGCGUGAGGGUCAUAAAGUAGCAUAUAAUAUUCUAAUUAAUUGUUAGGUGGAAUGAAUGGAAAGAUGAGGGUAGGACUGUCUCAGUUGCGGAAAGAUGAAAUUACCAUGGAAGUGAAAAGGCUUUCAUUUAAUAAAUAGACGAUAAGACCCCAUGAAAUUUUGAGAAUAAUAUUGCUUGUUGUUUUAGUAUUAUUGUUUUUUGGUUGGGGCAACUCUGGAGGAAAUGUCUCUGGGGAUAGUUAAAGAAAUACAGUUGUUGAACCGUUGUGGCGGUCAUCGGAAAAAAUUACUCUGGGGAUAACAGCGUAAUCUUCUCGGAAAGAUCAUAUUGGUGGGAAGGCUUGCGACCUCGAUGUUGAAUGUGGCGAUCCUUGGGCUGCAGAAGGUUCAGAGGGUUGGACUGUUCGUCCAUUAAAGGCCAACCUGAUUUGAGUUAAGAACGGCGUGAGCUAGUUCGGUUUCUAUCUUUUAUUAUAACUUUGGUUUGGCUUGUACGUAAGGACUGUUAAGCCGCACAUGGUGUUGUGAGAGGGGGUGGAUAAUGUGUAGUUUAAGCUUAGGAGUAGAGAUG
rnacentral:rRNA from 1 species